GAUGAACGCUGGCGGCGUGCCUAACACAUGCAAGUCGAGCGAAGCACUUUGCUUAGAUUCUUCGGAUGAAGAGGAUUGUGACUGAGCGGCGGACGGGUGAGUAACGCGUGGGUAACCUGCCUCAUACAGGGGGAUAACAGUUAGAAAUGACUGCUAAUACCGCAUAAGACCACAGCACCGCAUGGUGCGGGGGUAAAAACUCCGGUGGUAUGAGAUGGACCCGCGUCUGAUUAGCUAGUUGGUAAGGUAACGGCUUACCAAGGCGACGAUCAGUAGCCGACCUGAGAGGGUGACCGGCCACAUUGUGACUGAGACACGGCCCAAACUCCUACGGGAGGCAGCAGUGGGGAAUAUUGCACAAUGGGGGAAACCCUGAUGCAGCGACGCCGCGUGAGCGAAGAAGUAUUUCGGUAUGUAAAGCUCUAUCAGCAGGGAAGAAAAUGACGGUACCUGACUAAGAAGCACCGGCUAAAUACGUGCCAGCAGCCGCGGUAAUACGUAUGGUGCAAGCGUUAUCCGGAUUUACUGGGUGUAAAGGGAGCGUAGACGGAUGGGCAAGUCUGAUGUGAAAACCCGGGGCUCAACCCCGGGACUGCAUUGGAAACUGUUCAUCUAGAGUGCUGGAGAGGUAAGUGGAAUUCCUAGUGUAGCGGUGAAAUGCGUAGAUAUUAGGAGGAACACCAGUGGCGAAGGCGGCUUACUGGACAGUAACUGACGUUGAGGCUCGAAAGCGUGGGGAGCAAACAGGAUUAGAUACCCUGGUAGUCCACGCCGUAAACGAUGACUAUUAGGUGUUCGGGGGGCAAAAACCAUUCGGUGCCGCCAGCACACGCAAUAAGUAGUCCCCCGCGGGAGUACGUUCGCAAGAAAGAAACUCAAAGGAAUUGACGGGGCCCCGCACAAGCGGCGGAGCAUGUGGUUUAAUUUGAAGCAACGCGAAGAACCUUACCUGCUCUUGACAUCCCGCUGACGCGGACGGUAAUGCGUCCUUCCCUUCGGGGCAGCGGAGACAGGUGGUGCAUGGUUGUCGUCAGCUCGUGUCGUGAGAUGUUGGGUUAAGUCCCGCAACGAGCGCAACCCCUAUCUUUAGUAGCCAGCGGCCAGGCCGGGCACUCUAGAGAGACUGCCGGGGAUAACCCGGAGGAAGGUGGGGAUGACGUCAAAUCAUCAUGCCCCCUAUGAGCAGGGCUACACACGUGCUACAAUGGCGUAAACAAAGGGAAGCGAGACCGCGAGGUGGAGCAAAUCCCAAAAAUAACGUCUCAGUUCGGAUUGUAGUCUGCAACUCGACUACAUGAAGCUGGAAUCGCUAGUAAUCGCGAAUCAGAAUGUCGCGGUGAAUACGUUCCCGGGUCUUGCACA
rnacentral:rRNA from 1 species